rnacentral:rRNA from 1 species
GACAAACCAGAAAAGAAAUGGGAUAAAA